UACCCGUAUUUUUAUAUCCGAG
rnacentral:miRNA from 1 species